rnacentral:rRNA from 1 species
GAUGAACGCUGGCGGCGUGCCUAAUACAUGCAAGUCGAGCGAACAGACGAUGAGCUUGCUCCUCUGACGUUAGCGGCGGACGGGUGAGUAACACGUGGAUAACCUACCUAUAAUACUGGGAUAACUUCGGGAAACCGGAGCUAAUACCGGAUAAUAUAUUGAACCGCAUGGUUCAAUAGUGAAAGACGGUUUUGCUGUCACUUAUAGAUGGAUCCGCGUCGCAUUAGCUAGUUGGUAAGGUAACGGCUUACCAAGGCAACGAUGCGUAGCCGACCUGAGAGGGUGAUCGGCCACACUGGAACUGAGACACGGUCCAGACUCCUACGGGAGGCAGCAGUAGGGAAUCUUCCGCAAUGGGCGAAAGCCUGACGGAGCAACGCCGCGUGAGUGAUGAAGGUCUUCGGAUCGUAAAACUCUGUUAUUAGGGAAGAACAAAUGUGUAAGUAACUAUGCACGUCUUGACGGUACCUAAUCAGAAAGCCACGGCUAACUACGUG